UACGUAGGGUGCAAGCGUUAAUCGGAAUUACUGGGCGUAAAGCGUGCGCAGGCGGUUAUGCAAGACAGAUGUGAAAUCCCCGGGCUCAACCUGGGAACUGCAUUUGUGACUGCAUGGCUAGAGUACGGUAGAGGGGGAUGGAAUUCCGCGUGUAGCAGUGAAAUGCGUAGAUAUGCGGAGGAACACCGAUGGCGAAGGCAAUCCCCUGGACCUGGUACUGACGCUCAUGCACGAAAGCGUGGGGAGCAAACAGG
rnacentral:rRNA from 1 species